GGGAGAUGGACACCUGAGUGUCGGCAUCUUCACAGACAGAGGGCUGGAGUUUACACACAUCCUGCGUUUUCUGGUCAUGUUCCCCACUGUCCUCCGGGUUCACCAAGGGUCAUAGGAAAGGUGGGUGCCCCACUUUCUGAGAUGCUCAGGGUCUUCCUCCACCCUCAUCCCCUCUCGGGCUGGCUCCAGGCCCAGGUUCACCUGCCCUGGGGGUCCAAGACUGGGCGAUGGGCUUCUUGGGAGAGCAAAGGGGUCAAGCCUAGUUGCUAGCAGCAUAGAUGGUUGAAGCUGGAAGGGCCUUAGACUACUUCUAGACUCUCACUGGACAGAAAAGGCUUCGAAGGGUGCCCCUCGCAACCCAAGGAAGUGGCUGAAAGGGCCUUGGGAUCUACUCUGGGGUUGCCUCUCCCCACUUCUGUGACUUGGUAUGGGACUCUGAGCUUCAGUUUUCUCCUCCAUGCACUGAAGAUGAUGCCUACUGCCUAGUUUUCUUGUGGGGUCAGUGAGAUAAUCCAGGCAUUCUACAGGGGAGAAAUUAGGAGGUGUUCUGUUAGUUAGCUCUUCUAAUCUCUCCCACCUUAUUUUUCUUAUGAGCCCAUUCUCCACACAGACCAUUUUCCCCAGUAGGCUAUACAUUUCUGGAGAUCAGGGACCCCAUGAAAUUCGUCUUGGGUUUCUCAGCACCUGGGGACAGUGUCUGGCAUCUGCCAGCAAGGUUUCAAAUAACCUGUGUUGUGCAACCUGUCAGAGCACGAAUGUUCCCGGAAGACUAGACAACAGCCCUCGGGGAAGGCCCCACAGCUGGCAAGUCUGGGACCUCAACAGUUUCCUGCCGUUCAUCCCAUUCGCAGAAGCACAGGAGCCGUAAGGAGGUGGAGUGCUCCCUCUCUCCCGGUGGGCCUGUCCUUCCUUCUGUCAGCACCAAGUGAUGUCCAGCCAGCUGCUGGCUUGGGAACAAAGACCCUGGUCUUCUGAUUUCCCAGCCAGCUGCCUCCCUCCCUGGGAAGGGUCCCCCACCCACAGUUGGAUC